rnacentral:snRNA from 1 species
GUUACAGAUUGUCACCUUCGCUAAAACUGGAAUGAUACAGAGAAGGUUAGCAUGGCGGUUAGCAUGGCGGUUAGCAUGGCCCUCUGCAAGGAUAUUGACAAGCUUUAAUCUAGAUAUUGUCCUAGUAUUU